UGCUGCUAUUUUUAACCCUCCAGCUCCCCCUUGCCUGGGGCUCCCCCCUUUACCCCCACCCCCUUGCCCCAACCCGGUGGCACCAGUCUGUCAUUCUGAGAGCACUUCUACAACCUGAAGGCCCCGGAGGGCGCAGCGGAUGCCCCGGACGUGCAGGUUCCUCCAAUCCCUCGGGACUGCACUUUCUUGUGCCAGCUGCCAGUGGGAAGCUCUGGGUCUCCCAGGGAAAACCCUCUACUGAGGAGACAGGAGAGAUCUGAAGGCUACCAGUCGACAGCAGGAAGGACUUAUCGGCCCAAGGUUUUUGGCUCUCCAGCAGAGUGGUGGUGCUCCGAGGUCAGAUGUGCUCACCUUUGUGCACACCCACUUCACAUCUGCUUCCAGUGCCUGGCCCAGAGCUCUGCAAGUCUGUGACAAAUGGACGCAUCGUUGAGUGACCAGCUUGGCAAAUGAGCGUCCCUGGCUGUCAGUGUGAUUCUUGAGGGUUUCAAGGUAAAAAGAACAAGGCCAGAAAGGCUGGAACCCCAAAAGAAAACUCAGUGCCCCAGUGAGGCAGCAUCGACACCAGACGGCACUACCUGGUUCCCUUCACCAUGCCAGGCAUGAGUGUACACACAGGUACCCACAUUAAACUAU